AGUGGCGAACGGGUGAGUAACACGUGACCAACCUGCCCCGCACCCCGGGACAACCGCCGGAAACGGCGGCUAAUACCGGAUACUCUCCGAGGCGCGCAUGCGCCACGGAGGAAAGCUCCGACGGCGCGGGAUGGGGUCGCGGCCCAUUAGGUAGUAGGCGGGGCAACGGCCCACCUAGCCUGCGAUGGGUAGCCGGCCUGAGAGGGCGAUCGGCCACAUUGGGACUGAGAUACGGCCCAGACUCCUACGGGAGGCAGCAGUGGGGAAUAUUGCGCAAUGGGGGAAACCCUGACGCAGCAACGCCGCGUGCGGGAUGACGGCCUUCGGGUUGUAAACCGCUUUCAGCAGGGAAGAACAUCGACGGUACCUGCAGAAGAAGCCCCGGCUAACUACGUGCCAGCAGCCGCGGUAAUACGUAGGGGGCGAGCGUUAUCCGGAUUCAUUGGGCGUAAAGCGCGCGUAGGCGGGUGCCUAAGCGGGACCUCUAACCUCGGGGCUCAACCCCGAGCCGGGUCCCGAACUGGGCGCCUCGAGUGCGGUAGGGGAGAUCGGAAUUCCCGGUGUAGCGGUGGAUUGCGCAGAUAUCGGAAGAACACCGAUGGCGAAGGCAGAUCUCUGGGCCGCCACUGACGCUNANGCGCGAAAGCUAGGGAGCGAACAGGAUUAGAUACCCUUGGUA
rnacentral:rRNA from 1 species